ACCAGGAUAUGAAAAGAAGCUUAGUUUCUUAGUAAAUCAAAUAUAUCUCACUGGAUUCUGAGACCAGGGAAUUAAGAAUCAACACGAUGCUAAGACAUGAAACCUUUUGGAUGAUACAAAACUGCCUACAGGCAAGACUCAGCGCCAUUGAAUGAAUCAAAAGAAUGUACUUGGAGUUUGUAUUAUUGCUUCAGACAUGCCAAACAUUUGAGCCUAUCUACUCUCAGAUUAUCAUCAUGGACCCUCCAUAAAAGUGACCCUUACUCAACUCUGGUUUGGAAAAAGAUGGUCCUCCAUCUGAC